GAAUUCACUAGUGAUUUGGCGGCGUGGAUAAGACAUGCAAGUCGAACGAGAGAAUUGCUAGCUUGCUAAUAAUUCUCUAGUGGCGCACGGGUGAGUAACACGUGAGUAACCUGCCCCCGAGAGCGGGAUAGCCCUGGGAAACUGGGAUUAAUACCGCAUAGUAUCGAAAGAUUAAAGCAGCAAUGCGCUUGGGGAUGGGCUCGCGGCCUAUUAGUUAGUUGGUGAGGUAACGGCUCACCAAGGCGAUGACGGGUAGCCGGUCUGAGAGGAUGUCCGGCCACACUGGAACUGAGACACGGUCCAGACACCUACGGGUGGCAGCAGUCGAGAAUCAUUCACAAUGGGGGAAACCCUGAUGGUGCGACGCCGCGUGGGGGAAUGAAGGUCUUCGGAUUGUAAACCCCUGUCAUGUGGGAGCAAAUUAAAAAGAUAGUACCACAAGAGGAAGAGACGGCUAACUCUGUGCCAGCAGCCGCGGUAAUACAGAGGUCUCAAGCGUUGUUCGGAAUCACUGGGCGUAAAGCGUGCGUAGGCUGUUUCGUAAGUCGUGUGUGAAAGGCGCGGGCUCAACCCGCGGACGGCACAUGAUACUGCGAGACUAGAGUAAUGGAGGGGAAACCGGAAUUCACGGUGUAGCAA
rnacentral:rRNA from 1 species